rnacentral:rRNA from 1 species
AUUGAACGCUGGCGGCAGGCCUAACACAUGCAAGUCGAACGGGUGGCGGACGGUUGAGUAAUGUAUGGGACACUGCCUGAUGGAGGGGGAUAACUACUGGAAACGGUAGCUAAUACCGCAUAACAUCAGCUGUGCCCAGAUGGGAUUAGCUAGUUGGUGGGGUAACGGCUCACCAAGGCGACGAUCCCUAGCUGGGCUGAUAGGAGGACCAGCCACACUGGAACUUAGACACGGUCCAGACUCCUACGCGAGGCAGCAGUGGGGAAUAUUGCACAAUGGGCGCAAGCCUGAUGCAGCCAUGCCGCGUGUAUGAAGAAGGCCUUCGGGUUGUAAAGUACUUUCAGCGGGGAGGCGUUACCCGCAGAAGAAGCACCGGCUAACUCCGUGCCAGAAGCCGCGGUAAUAC